GCUGUGACGAGAUAAAGUAUUCAGGAUGGCUCUGUCUGCGAAAACGUUAACACUGACCGUUGCAACGUCUGGUGUGGUGUUGGCAGCGAAAGGCCUUACAAUUUCAACCCCUGCCAUAGCUUUUAUUGCAGUGGCCAUAACUGUGGGAAUAGGCGUGACACUCUAUAUGAGUCGAAUAAAUGACAACAAACAUAAAUAGAAGAAGUGACAACGGUCAUCCAUCUCUGAUUCAUCGACUACAUCAACUUACAUUUAUUUGAAACAUAACCAAUAAAAAUGUGAUUUGCUUAUUUGAUUUAUUGUUUGUACUGUUUUAAACAUGCUGCAGACUUUAGAUUGUGCUAGAGGGAAUGUAUGGAGCACCUGAUAUAUCAUAUAUCUUUAUAGUUAUAAGACAG